GGGAGAGGGAACUGAAGAAAAGUGUCCGCUGAGAAAAGAAAGGAAAAAGAGAAUAUUUUCAAGCAGGACAGAGAGAAAAGGAUAGUGAGGAUAAUGCAAGGGAAGACUUAAAAAUAUACAAAUAGGAGAGAGAGCGUUAGAAAAGCAUAAAUCAAAGGACAUGAUGACAGGUAGAGAGAUUGAGAAGGGCAGCACUGCAAGAGAAACCAAGGGAAGUCACUAAAAAGAGGACAGAGAGGAGACAUAGUAAAUGUAUCAGAAGUGUCAGAAUUAGCGGAUUAACAGACAAAAGGGUGGAAUAGAAAACGGGUAAAUAUUAGUGGGAGUAAGGAAUUAUCCAAGUCAGAUGAUACGUGUCGCCUUAGGAACAUUCUGCUCGCAUUUUUUGUUUCGGUGCUGAGGAAAGUUAGAGAUUUGGGAGGAGAAAGUCAGGGGGAUGUAAUGAAAGUGUAUCUGCACCCACAUAGUGCCAGUUCCACAGACAGCCUGGGCACAUCUCCGACAGUACUCGGGUAAGACAUUCUACUUUUUACAAAUGUUUUGGGAGUUUGGUGCCUUACUGCACAAUGCUGUAGGUAACUGGGGCAUGAUGUGCAGGUCUGGGAUGACUUUUCCUCAUAUUUAUGGGCAAUAUGAUAUACAGAGGUGUGUGUAGAUGAACAACCGCACUAGUUACAAAAAUAUAUAUAGUAUGUCAAUAUUAUUUACUUACAUAAAUAACUAAAUAUAUCCAUUUUAGAACAAUAUGUGUAUAUCUAUACUGAAUAUAUUUAUAAUACAUAUUUAUCUGUGUGUGUGCCUAUUAAUUAUAUUUGAGAUUAUAUAUUCACCAUAUUUAUCUCUCUCUCUCUCUCAAUAUAUAUAUACCUAUUGCAUAAUAUGUACUUGUGUCUUUCUAGAAAGUGUUGUAAUUUGUAGAAUUAUUCUCAGGUAGUUGUUUUUAAUGUCAAAUAAAUGCAUAAGUAUAUUAACAGAAAAAAAACCUCGGAAACAAUAGAUAUUAUAUGUACGUGCCUAACAGAUGAAAAUGAUGGGUGUUUGCUUAUGUAAUAAAAAACACACAAGGAGACGGAGCGAGAGACACAAUAUACUGUUAACGUUAAUAUGCCAGCUUACUGUGCAGUAAUUAUAUAACUUUUCUAGUAUCAUAAAGACAGGCAUGGAAAGGUAAUAAUUAUAUUAACAUCAAGCAGUUAUUUUUAUAUCUCCGUGGUACAUGUAUUAGUUAACCAUGUAUUUUAAGCACAGUUCUAAUGCAAGGAAAAAUACUUUUGGAGUUGAAGAAAAUUAACUUUUGCAUUUAAUAGGUUUGUAAUACUGAGCACAUAUCAGUUGUUACUCUUGAAAAGACAAGAUUGUGUAUUGAUUUGCUUUCAUGGUGGUCUUUUGCAUAACCUUUAGGUAUCAGCAGGGAUGUGAACACAGGGUUAAAUAAAUCCAAUUAGGACAGGAUUAAAAAUAAUUAUAAAAUCCUGCAACCAAGCCUUAUACAAUUUAAACCUAAUCGUUGAUUUACUAAACACCAAAUUGUACUGAAUUGAAAACUGAACCACAAAAUUAAUUCUAAAAGCUGUAGUGAAUUUCUCCAAACUGACAUUUUUUUGUCUACAUUUUGCAAGCUGGUAAUCACUCUACUACAAUUUGAUGAAUAGUGAAUAAGCCGCCUAGUUUCCAAUAAACCUUCCAGUGACUAUUUUAUUGUAGACAAAAGUUAUUUCCCAUCUUUUGUUGUAUCUUAAUACUGAUCCUGGCUAUAUAAAGAAUAUUUAUUUAAAAAAAAAAUGUAAAGGUUUUUUUUAAAACUAUUUUUAAUGCAACUCAUUUUCCACGUAAAAAAGAGCUACAAGAUAAUUCUGCCAUCACUUCCCCUUCUGCAGCUUUUGGAACAAUUAACACCACCAUGAUGGAAAAAUGUAAUUACAUGAGAUAAUGGGUCCAUUAAUCCAAUAGUAUUUUGGGUAAAACUUUGCUACAGUUUAAGAUAAAUGUCAAGGCAAGCACUUCGUUUUAGAAGCCAUAUUUGAAACCCAAACCAUUUCUCAUAUAUUUCCAUAGAAACACAGAAUCUGAUGGCAGUUCAGUUAAGAGCCACUUAACCCUUCCUUCCCCAGCUGCUUUAACGCCUUGGAACCCUGUAUGUGAUGACAUCUUAAAAUCAGUAUAACAUUAUUUGCCAAAAAAGUUUAGAAUGUAUGUAUUCAACAUCUUGUUGUAGGUUUCAAUGGUUUACUAUACUUUCCUAUUGCCGGAUCACAUAGUGCACUUUUUAAUACUCUACAGAUGAUAUAGCAUAUGUGCCGUGGAACAAAUAUCCCCUAAUACAUUCCGGGGUGCAAUAAGAACAUUUCUGCAUCAGAUCUUCAGAAUUGAUUUCUUAAAAUCUCAACACCUUCAUUUGAUGUGCUCUGGUUAUUUUAAUAAUGAAUCAAACACUCAGGCUGAUCUGGUGCUGUAAAAUCAAAUCAACAUUUUUUAAAAUUUUUUUAAUUGUAUAGUCUAAUGUUUGGAAAAAUACAACAAAAAUAUCUAAUAUUUCAAAUACAACAUAAUAGUGUAAAUAUGUUUCUUGGUUGCUAUGUUAUAUGCUAUUUUACUUGAUGUCUUUACAUUGACUGUAACAUUUAGAGAUAGCAUUAAAUUGUGAGCUCCGUUGUCUACAUUAUUAUAGUUUAUUCAAACAGGUAUUCUGAGGGGUUUAAGUGAAAAUAUAUAGAUGGGCUCUUUGAUAACAAGCCCCCAAAAAUUCCAUCGUCCCCCAAAAAAAUAUUACUGUAUAGUUUAAAACUUUCUGAAGGUGGUCAUUUUAACUUAAUUAUAUGUAGCUGUGUGUAAAUAUUCCUCAGUUGUUAGUUAGGGUGGUUUCUCUGCAUAUUUUGGGGCAACAGAGGAGGGUAGUUAUAUUUAUCUUAAGCUGCCUCUCUGGGGUGUGGCCAUCUUCUGUCCUAAGCCCCUGGUGCUUUAUCUGUGAGGAGCCGUGUAAGUACUAUAAUAUAAACACCACAGGUUCCUUCACAGACUAAGUCUGUAAGAAGAAGCCUUAUUACCACAUUCGGCACUAGUGACGGCUGAGGGAAGUGACAAAAUCUGACAGUGGAAGCUCCACCCUUUGUCGAGUUUUGUCACCGUUGGGCUUUACCAUAAGACUAGUGCACAAUGUGUCUUAUGAUAUCUUUUUGACUGCAUUAGAAUUUCAAUGAAUUACCUACAUACUCAAUAUGAGUAUUCCAUAAAGAAAUCUUUACCAAAUUAAUUAGAAAUAAUCCAACAAAAGAAAAUAUUAAAAUAAAAAUAUCAUGCAUAAAAUUGGAAUAUUUGCAGACGAUGUUGUAUUGUCUUUAAGAAAUGCCACUUCCUCACUUCAUUCCAUAAUGUCCAUAUUAAAACAAUUUGGUGACGGUACGUCUUAUCUAAAUUGAAUGAAACUAAAAGUCAAGCAGUGUGGGCUACCUCAAAUUUUGAGUUGAGGCACAUUCCUUAUUUUAGCAUUACUCUUAACAAAAACCUGUUGAAAAUGCAUGUGUGUAUUCUCGCGAAAGUUUGGCCAGGUUUACAGACAGAGUUGGAAGGAAUUGGAAAUAUCAUGGCUGGGUAGGAUUUGUUUGAAGAUGAUAGAAGAUGAAUGUCCAUCCAUAGGUUUUGUAUUUUUUACGUGGCAUUCCAAUGUCGGUUCUAUUAUCAUUUUUAAGGAAGAUCCACACAGCCAUAAAACCGUACAUCUGAUCGAAUAAACCUAGUAGAAUAAGGAUGUCUGUGUUGCAGGACCUUAAAACGCAUGGUGGCUUGGGUGUGCCCAACUUCAGAAAUUAUUACUUUGCAGCAAAUUCUGCCCAGGUUUUUAAAUUCAAUUCGGACACCAACUUGCCUCACUAGUUUUUGACCAAGAGAGAUAAAUCACUUACCCAUUUAAUUAAAGAGGUAUUAUGGCUUCCACAUAAGUUACUGCCUAAGAUUAGGGAAACAAUUCCCACUACCAAGAUGACUUUAAAGGUAUAUCUUUAACUUCCUUAUACAUGACUUGGGAUAUCAUGUAUAAGGAAGUUAAGUGUAGUGUUUUGUGGUCUAGAUCUACGCCAACAUCUGUUCUAAAGUAUGAUACACCUAGGGUUGAUGUGGAUUUACUCUCUUACUAAUUUGGAUGAUGUGAUUUGAUAAACUUCAGCUGAAAUAUAAUUUGGACGAUUCGGCUGCCCCAUAACAUGAGAUUGUAUUUGGUUAUUAAUGCUAGGCCCCAAGCUAAGUUGGACUUUAAAAUUGCAUGGGGAAGGGAUCUUCAGAAGGAAUGGUCUUUGGAGGAUUGGCUGAGCAUUGAUUUAAAUUUGAAAGGCAUUACGCAAUGUUCAACACAUUUAGAAAAACACUUCACGGUGCUAUAUAGAUGGUAUUUAACCCCAUUUAGACUUCAGAAAAUCUGCCCAAAUUCAUCUAGUUUAUGUUAGUGGUUGUGGACAGGUAGGCACUUACAUUCAUAUAUGUCCAUGAAUUCAGGAGUUUUGGAAAGAUGUUCACAAAGUCAUUACAGACAUUAAUCCCUAAAUUCAACACAGAAACUUUAAAGAUCUCUCCUGAUGCUUUUUUUCGUUUGGUCUGCACACCAUGCUUUACCUUCAUAUGCAGUGCGUAAUAUAAAUCACCAACACGUAGUGAGCACUUAUGAUGCUUUGUUUUAUUAAGGAUGGAAGUUUUGUCCUAAUUAUUUGUAUUAUUUAUGUUUAUGUUUUUAUAUUUUUUUUUUCUAUUACUGUUAAAAAAUGUAAAUAUAUUCUUCAGAGCAUGGAAAAGCGAUAUAUGCCAGCAUUUCAGAUCCUUUCCCCCCUGUUUUAGACAGUUAGUUACAGAGAGGAUUGGAGGGACGCAGAACAAAUGUAUCACCUGUAUCUGUAUUGUUGCGAACCAAGUGUUUAGAAGGUUGUGUACAGCUUGUUGAUCAAUAAGAAAUCUGACUGCCAAGUUGGAAUAAAAAUAUAUCCCCCUGCCCGCCAUUUUGUGGCAAAAUUGAAAAACACUUCAGGCUAGGUUUUGGGGUUUUUUAACAGCUGACACAGAGCUGUGUGAAAAGGCUGAAUUAGAUUUUUUUGAAUAUUUUUUUUCAGCCUAUAUGACUAUGUAAGUUUUUGUUGUCCAUCCUAUGAUGGAUGGUGCCUGCACCAACAAAAAUUAUGAUAUGUACAAUUAUUUACAUAGCACCAACAUAUUCUGCAGUGCUGCACAAUAGCAAACAAGACAAAUUCUUUAAUUUCUUUAACUUUAAUUCUAACGAAACAUUUAUUAUUAUUAUUGCGAUUUAUAUAGCGUCAACAGAUUCCGUAGCGCUUUAUGUUUAACAUACAUAGGAGUUGAAGCUGCAUAUAAGAUAGCAAAGCCAUGCAAACAAGGACCUCGAUUUAAUAUUUUUGGAUAAGCUUUCGAAAUUGUUCACAAUCUGGUAGAAAUGUUUUUAUUUAUAUUGUUAUUAUUAUUUAUAUGCCACCAAAAUAUUCUGCAACACUUCUCAUAAAGAAAAGGGUGAGGAACAGAUUGUGAUCAUAUGAGAUGGCUUUUUAAAAAUAUUAAAUUGAGACCAAGGAUUGGUGUGCAUUAUAUUUUAAAGAUAGAAUGCCAUACCUCUCAACUUGGAAGGUAUGAAACUGGCAUUGGGGACUGGUGUAAGGUGAUAUGCUAAUGAUGCAGUAACACCACUAGUGAUGCCCAUAGUAAUGGAUCCAAAAAAAAAGUCAGGAAAGCUCCAAGAAUAUGGCCGCACAUGCACAGAGUGACAUUAAAUCAUUCUGUCCAUGGGCUAUACGCUGUCAGUGUAGAUUGUAUAGCAAGAACGCAUUCAAUAGUACAGUUCUGCAGUGCCUUAUGGGGACUUGGUCUCUGGUAUCUGUAGACACAUGACCCCAGAGAGCAAACCUGCAACAUCAGGACAAGGACUGUCCUAGCAGAGGUAUGGAAUGUUAUAAACUAAGGCUUAAUGCCAUUUACAGACUGUUUAGUUUUUUUCUGCCUAUAUUUUAAGUUGGUGCAAUACACAUUUAUUUAUCAUUAAAACAGUCUGAUUAUAAUUAUUAUUCACUCCACUCAUCCCUCCUUAAGUCUGUUUUAACAAAACUCAGCCCGCUCUCUUUCCCUUCUGUAUACCUUACGUCCACAACCCUUACAACACAUGUGAUCUUUUACAGCCUUGUUCAUUUUCACUCUAAUACUGUACUCAUGGAAUAAACUCUCUUCGCACAAUCGCACAAUUUUUUAUGCGAGGCGAGUGUGCUCAUGCUAUUGGUACCCAUAUGGGGAUUAGGGUGUAAUUAAGGCGAGUGCAUGGUCUGUGUUAUGUUCUUUUGAGUGGUUGGGUGUCACAAUCCUCUGUUGCUUGGGAAGGGGGCAUAAUGUGGUAGGUUAGUUUUGUAGUUUAUCGCGUUAUAAGUUGGCGUUUGUGCCCCUGUGUAAGACUAGGGCCUCUAUCAGAGCCUUAGCAGAGGUUGUGUGUCGAGUGUGAGGUGCGUGGAUUGGUGGAUAGUGUUGUGGGUCAUGGGGGGGGGGUUGUAUCACGACCUGUUUAAGGGGAAACAGUAACUAAACUUGGAGUGUAGAGAGAACAGUAGGGUAAACUUAGACAGGAGAACAGCAGAACAUGGAAACUAGUAAUAUGCAUUUUGUGAGGUGUUCAGGUCACCGCCUCCUGCCUCCGGCUACUCCUGAGGAAGAAUGGAACAGUUCUCUCUGGAUCCCACAGGGAUGGGUUGAUGGUGUCCCGGUGUUGGGGUGAUCAGUGUUAGUCCCAAUUUUUGGAGGAAGGCAGGGGCCUCCGAUAGUGUGGAGAGUUUUAGGACAUCUUCUCUGCUGAUAACUGCCAAGGUCUUGGAAAAAGGUGAGUUGUGAAGACUCUUACCACUGCUAAUUUGCAGCGUUUGUCUGACAUGGAGUGGCAACGGACUAUGAUGUCCCUUGGAGCCGUUGUGGGUGCCCGUUUGGCCUUGUUUAUGCGAAAAUGGCCGUCGAAUUCAAGCUUUCUAGCUUGAGUGUGCAGCAAGAGAACUGUGGCAAUUCUGUUGGUCCGAUUGUGUCAGGGAUUCCCUGAAUUUUGAUAUUCAUGCACCUGCUGCGGUUUUCAUUGGCGUCUAGUGUGUUUUGAAAUGCUGUGUUUGCAGACUGUAAGUGUUGCAGGGUGUCCAUCGUGCUUUGUACCUCUUGUCUGAGGUCUAAUAUGUCCUCUUCAGAGGCCUGUACCUGUUCUGUCACUGCCUGCAUUUUUGUUCUCACAAGGUUUAUGUCAGCAUCAAACAUCUGCUUAAUUUCUUGCAGUAGGUGCCUGAUAUCAUUUUUGGUCGCUGGGGCUGAGUCAUCCCAUUCUGCUUGUGGGCUGCUGGGGGACUCUGAUCACCGGUCUGUUCUGUUUACCUCUAACAGCUGUUCUGAGCAUAUGGAGCCAGUCUUAGGGUCCUAUUCAGCCGACAUCUUGCGGCUUGAAUGUCUUGCAGUAGGGCCCCUAUAUCUCGGGAGUCCUUGGGUGUACCUGCUGUUCCUCGGCUGUUGGGACCAGUCAUCUAGGCCCGGGAAGAACGACGCGGGUAGUUGCGACACCAGUGGGAGGGUGACAUAGACCCGAUAUUUGCGUCGUUUUUUUGCCCGUUUGUGCAUCCAAAAAGGGAAUAGGUGGAAAGCCCUCUGAGUCCUGAAGCCGUGGCUGUAGGUCUUACGGGUGAUGGUCACCUGUCCCUGUGAUAUUUGGAGGAUUGCCCAUUAAUGCUGGGGAGCCGUGGAGAAUGGCGUUCAAUCGGCUCCAUGGUUAAGCACCACCCCCCUCCAUGCACAAUCGCAAUUUUAAAUUACAAAAAUCACAAAUAUUUUCUCAAAAAAUCUUAGAUUCUUCAUAAUUCAGUCUCUAUACUGGUCCCUGUUUUUAUGUGUGUGCAAAAAAUAUUUGCAGUAGUUUAGAGCAUUAUUUUUUCCAGAGGGAAGGUUGUAAGCCAAAAAUAUGGGAAAAAGUAGUGUCUCUAUAAUUAUGUCAUAGGUUUUAGUUCUGCAUGACCUCUGCCACCUUAUUGGUAGUUGUUUGGAAAAGCUUACUUGAGAGCAUCUAUGCAUGGCAUAAACUGGGGCUGGUUUGGAACUUGCCCUGUUUCAGCAGGUUUUGCACAUGCCUAGUGUCCUUCUAGAAGUAAUUUGUUGCCAUUCGGGCAGCAGAACCAGUUGCCCAUGAGUGAAAGCAUGCUAUUGGCCUCUGUAUUCAGGGGCCAUCAUCGGCUGAUAGCAUGAGGGGCUGAGGCUAUAGUGCCCACUAGAGAGAGAAGCAAGAAGCCAUCUUAGAAGCUCACAGGGUGAGCUCAACAGCAGCAUCUCCUGGCCUCUGCCAAAUGUAAGUGUUUAAUAUUAUCUUUUUAUUUCCCCCAAUAGCCUUAGUGACUGCCUGAGUGCUGAUUAAGCAAGGAAAUUUACUCAAAUAUAUAAUUAAUAUAAAAAAUGUUGUGCCCAGCUUGUUUUAUUGUAUGAGUAUCUUUGUUAUUCUCAGCUCUCUGUAUUCUAUGAGUAUCUCUGUACUGUAGAGGGAGGAAAAUAAAAUUGCGGGGGAGGAGUCUGGUGCCCCACCAUCUUAAAGCUUCACCAGCGGUCACCGCUUUGACAAAACUAAAGCAUAGCUACAUUGUGCUAAAAAGGGCUAAGGAAUACAGGGGCGUUCAUGGGAGUUUAUUUAAAUAAAAGUUAUAUGUUUAAAUAUUUUCAAAGACAUAUUAAAUUACAACCUGUCAGGAAUAAAAAGAAAGUUAAUGAUUAGAAUAUAUAAAAGGACAUAAAAUUCUCUUUUCAUAAUGCUAGAAUGAAAUAUACAAAUAUGAAUGCUAUUUAUGCUCAGAAAAUAUCCUAUAUUUGUCUUUUUUUUUUUUAAUUAUGCCUGAAGAGUAUAGGGACAUUUGUGAAAAGGUAACAGUUUCCAAUUCUUCCCAAGGAGUUGUUAUACAGCUCAUCAAGAAGGAGGGGUGUUGCGCAUCCUAUUCUGCAGUAGGAUCUGAAAGCCAAUUGUGCCACAUUUUGCUGACCCCUGAGUUGGGCUAUCCCAGGAUAACAUUACAGGAUUAGCAUUAGGAGACCAUUUACAGUGUCUCAGCAUUCACGUAUAGAGGUAAGGAACUUUGAUUUACGGCACUUCAAGGCUUACUUCUUAUGAGGAAAUCCAGUGUUUUUGUAAUUCUUGUAUCAGGUUUUCAGCCAGUAAUACUUUGUGAAGAUAUAAUUUUUGUUUAGUUGUUCCAAUGUUUCUCUCUUUUAACCUCUCCUUUUCUCCUUCUGUCUACCCAUUCCUGUCUAUCUCAUUUUAUCCUCAUCUUCUGAUUGAAUAUGUCUCACUUCAAGCAUUACAUCCCGUCAUACCUCUCUGUCCCUAAAACAUGUCUCAUAUUUCCUUCGGAGCAGAAGGUAUCUCCAGGAGCCUGUUUCAGUUGUUCUAAUUAAGCUAGUCUUAAUAGUUCUUUAUUUGGUGUCACAUUUUCCUUUGACUUGCUCUGGCAUUCUUAUGUCUUCUCAGUGGUGUCACUAGCGGGGCACGAUGGGUGCGGACCAUACCUGACAUUCUCCAGGGGGUGACACCACUAGGGAGGAACUUCUCCUACUCUAGUAGUCCUCCUGGUGUCACUUCACUUGAGGGUGCAAUGGCAGCCAUAGCGCAAUAGAUCCCUCGAUGAUCCGACACAUCGCUGCAGGGAGGACAGGCACUGUGACAGGCAGCCUGGCAGAGGAGGAAGAAGAAGAAUCUGGCAUGCAGGUUUUUGUAGUAUACUGGGCAACCUGAGUAACUAUAUUCUGGUGGUCUCUUCUGUAGUAUGCCGCUUUUUCUGUCCCUGCCUGUCCCACUGGGCCCUAAGGUGAGGAGUCCUCUUGAGAAACUUGCCAUCGGUCGCUGCACAUUACUAUAGUACAUUUCUAUAACGUUAUUUAUAAGUGCACAGUGCAGACUUUAUUUUAUACUUUCCUGCCUUAACUUCAGUGGGUGCACGUGUGUCUGUAUGACCGUGUCUCUGUAAGAGUUUGUUCAUGUGCCUGGUUGACUGUAUGUCAGUAUGUGUGUAUAUAUGUGUCUGUAUGAAUUUCUGUAUAACUAUGUCCGCAUGAGUGUGUAUAUGUCUGUCUAUAUUCAGAGGCGGCUCUAGACUUUAUGAGGCCUUAGGCGAAACUCAAACAUGAGGCCCCACUAACAAAAAAGUGUCACAUAUACACAUUGAGUCACUGUCUACAUGUGUAUGUGCCAGAGAGUGUGUCUGACAGAGAGUAUCCUUGUGUGUGUGAAUGUAUGUCUCUGUGAGCAUGUUUGCGUUUUUGUCUGAGACCGUAUGUGUAUGGGGUAGCUGCUUGAAGUGUGUUGUGUGUAUGGGGGGGUGAUGGUGAGAGGGAGGGGGGGGUGUUGAGAGGGAGAGGCGAAGCAAUGUGAGAAGGAGAGGGGGAUGUGAGAAGGAGGGGGGUGAUGUGAGAAGGGGAUGGAGGGGGGUGAAGUGAGAAGGAGGGGUGAUGAGAAGGGAGGGGGUGAUGUGAGAAUGAGGGGGGUGAUGAGAGAAUGGAGGGUGAUGUGGAGAAGGAGGGGGGGUGAUGGGAGAAGGAGGGGAUGAUGUGAGAAGGAGGGGGGUUGAUGUAGAUGUUGAGGGAGGGGGGUUGAUGGUGAAGGGCUGAUGCUGAGGGUGGUGAUGCUGAGGGUGGUGGGGGGGGGGGGGGGGGGGGGGGGGGGGGGGGGGGGGGGGGGGGGGGGGGGGGGGGGGGGGGGGGGGGGGGGGGGGGGGGGGAGGGGUGUGGAGGCUGAGGGUGGUGAGGCUGUGGUGAGUGCUCUGAGGGUGGUGGGUGGUGAUACUGAUGGUGGUGGGAGUGGUGAGGGCUGAGGGUGGUGGGGAGGCUGAGGGGUGGUGGGGGUGGUGAGGCUCAGGGUGGUGGGUGGUAGUGAUGCUGAGGUUGGUGGGGGUGGUGAGGCUGAGGGUGGUGGUGAGGCUGAGGGUGGUGGGGGGUGAAGCUGAGGGUGGUGAGGGGGGUUGUGAGGCUGAGGGUGGUUGGGAGACUGAGGGUGGUGGUGAGGCUGAGUGUGGUGGGGGGGUGGUGUGGCUGAGGGUGGUGGUGAGGCUGGGGGGGUGAGGCUGAGGGUGGUGGGGCUGAGGGUGGGGUGGUAGGGGGUGAGAGAGCCUACCUUUACUCCCUGGUGGUCCAGUGGGUUCCCUGGUGGUCCGGUGGCCAUUGCUUCCGAUCUGCAGCUCCGCAGAGCUGCAGACCAUGUAAUCUCACGGGACCAUCAGAGCGUUGCCGUGGUAACCCGCGGCAACGCUCUGAUUGGCCGGUUUUCGCGAGACACAUGAUCUGACUGCAGCUCUGCUCACUGUGGAGCUGCAGAAUGGUGUCUGCGGUGGCUGGCCGGGCAGCCAGGAGGGGCCUCGCACCCGACGGCAUACCGGGCAAGCUGCUGGGCCCCCUCCUGGUGUCAGGACCUGACACAGUCUGCCCACAGGUGGUUUAGGCAGCCGUGAGGCCCUAACCAGGGCAAGGUAUUAGGCGGCCACCUUAACCGCCUAAUUAGAGAGCCGCCUCUGUCUAUAUUACUAUGUUUCAGUAUGAGUGUGUGUCUGCAUGAGUGUGUAUAUGCCUCUGUGAUGAUGUGUCUCUAUUUGAGAGUCAUAGACAGACACACACACUUAUAUAGACACAGGUCAACCAGUGUCUGUAUGAGAGUGUUUAUGUGUUUCUUUAUAUGUCUUUUGUGUAAGUGUCUGUAUGUCUUUGUAUGUGAGUGUAUGAAUGUGUGUAUAUGUGUUUGUAUAACUCUGUGGGGGAUAUUUAAUUGUUCUGAAAAUGGCAUAUAUUAAAAAAUUAUGAUUAGCAUGCAAAAGAAACAACAGAUAAGAAAACCCUAUUACUAAAUUAACUUUUUUUUUUAUUUAGGAACACACAACCCCCACACACACUCAGCUUCUCACACACAGCCACCAUACACAAUCACACUCAGCCAACCACACUCAUAGCACAUUCAGCCAAUCACACAUAGAUCCCACGCACAUCACACUCAUCAACCAACACAGUCAAACACACAGUCAAACACACAUAAUAUCACACUCAAAAUACAGAGGAGGUCUGUAAUACAUUCAUGUACUCUGCACAUAACUGAACAUAAAAAACACAUUACUAAGAGGGUUGAAGUGACACCAUGGGUGACACCAACCAUAGCGAUGCCACUGUGUCUUCCACCAUUAUCCAUAUUAGCAAUGGAACCUGUUCUCAUUGUUGGUGUUGUCGAUGCUUAGAUAGUAAUGUUGUCCUUUGCUGGGCUCAUACAAAUUCUAAAGCUUAAUAUUGUGUAGCCACCAUUACACACAAAGACCCCAUACCUAACAAACCUUUGCUAGGCAUCGUGUGUAUGCCUAUAUCUUGAAAAAAAUAACAAUUGAGAUUCCUUUACCAAACCGGAGUGAAAGAACUAUACCCUCCAGUAUAACAUUUACAGUAGUGCUUUUGGAAUAAAAAUUAAGUUCUACAGAUUAAAAAGAAGGAGCAAAAAAAGAUGGCCAUAUGGCUUUUUAAAACAAACUUUUAUCUAACUUACAAAUUUCACCAAACAUGUAAGGGUGCUUUAAACGGCCCUUCAUAAUGCUAAUUCCUUUCUAACAAAUUAAUUGCACAAAGGUUUAACCAUUGUAUUGGAACAUAAUGUAAAUGCUCCAAUUGAAAACUUAAAGGGACACUGUAGGCACCCAGACCACUUCAGCUCAUUGAAGUGGUCUGGGUGCAAACUCCCAUCACCCAUAACCAUGUAGUGUAAUUAUUGCAGUUUUUUUUUUUUUAAACUGCAGUAAUUACCUCUGAGGGUUCACUUCUCCUAUAGUGGCUGUCUACCAGACAGCCACUAGAAGCACUUCCGAAACUGAAACGGAAUUUUUUUCUGUUAUCAGACGCUGGACGUCCUCCCGUUCAGAAUGAGGACUUCCAGCAUCAGAUUUUCCCCAUAGGAAAGCAUUGAAUAAUGCUUUUCUAUGGGGAGAUCCUAAUGCAAGUGCAGCCAUUUCCGCGCAAGCGCAUUAGGUCUCCCUCGCAGGCGGCCGGUGGCAGGGGAGGAGCGUGGGCAGAGCUGAGUCUGACCCAGAUAAGUGACUUAUUAACCCCUUAAGUGCCGGGGGGGGGGGGGCGGGGGGGGGCUUGACAAAGGGGAAAUCUAUAGUGCCAGGAAAACACUUAAAUAACCGAACUAAAUAUAUGUACAUGACUUGGAGUAUUACAUGAAAAUUACAAUUUUUCUCCUAAAAUUUGCAGUUCCCUGUCAAAUUAAACUUGACAACUUCUGUUACCUUUUUUGGUUUUUUUUUUCUAGCAAACUGAUUUAACACUACCGAUAAAUAUAAAUACAUAAAAGUUACUAGAUAUUCCUGAACUCCUCGAUUGAAGGUUAUAUAAACACAGGGCUUCUCCAGCUGAACAAGUUGUCUAAAAUAACCCAUAUGACAUUGAAUUUAUGAGAUAAUGCUAAGAAUCUCCGACCCUGAUAUUGUUGGCCGCGUAACCUAGGCUACCAGAAUAUACCUUGUAAUUGUCAUUUUAGUAUCACAGUUAUAUUCUAUCACGCAUUAUGUAUUGUGUUUUUUUGAGUACUAGACCCAUUUCUCAUCCUAUUUUCACUAUUUUUUCAUUACUUUUUUAAAGUACAUUUAACUUUUUUUUUAUUCUCUUUUUCCUUCGCGUUCUGUUUUUCUUUCCUUCAUUAUCUCCUUUUAUCAGUAGUUGCUUCCCCCUCUCUCUGUCCCCUCUCUCCACAUCUCUUUCUCUUUGGCUGUUUGUCUCUAUCUUGGGGCUAUAACAGCACAUACAGGAUCGAUACACUGACGCUAUUAUUUUUCCAUCAAUGCAAGCAAUCCCAGCCUGAAACUUCAGAGAGAGACACACGAAGGGAUGUAAAUGGCCACAUAGAAGAGCGACACUUACAUCUGAGGAACACUAACGGAGUAUUGACAUGUGCAGAUAACUAAACCAUUCCCACCACGUGUCAGUAACCACUGCUGGGCCAACAUACGAGGUCUAGAGGUCAUAUAGACAUAAUGAAUGUAUCUUUAAUACAGAUUUGGCAAGAAAAGCAACAUUCGCUUGAACGUACUGCCAGAUUAUGCAAUUCUUUGUAUCCAUGUAUACAUUACAAGAAUAAAUUAUAGGUAAAAAUAUUGUUUUACUGUUUAGUGUUCCUAUGGUAACCAGCUGCUAAAAAAAGACUUGAUCUUUAUCUAACCUCAUUCACAAUUAAGCUGUUGUGAAUCGUACAUCCUAUGGGUACAAUUUUAUUGCAUUUGUUUCAACUGCAACAACAACAAAAAAAACAACAACAACAAGAAAACAUAUUGGUUAAAUGAACAGUAUUUAUCAUAAAAAAAAAAGGAUAAAAGAAAUUAGGAAUAUGGACAUAUUUUAUAAGAGAAACUGUAUAUCAAUACAUGGCAGCAGAUUCACAAUGCCUAUAAUUAAUUCUACACAAUAAUCUAUAUUAAUUUUAUAAUGCAUAAUCUUUCCUGGCACAAUUUGUUUUUCAUGUAAGUCAUCGUUCAAUGAAAAUAAAUUAGGAAAAAUACAACAGUUUACAAGCAAUGUAUUAUAAAAAUAAUAUUUGUAUAUUUAAACAGAAGUGCUUUAUUUCUGAAUUGAUCAUUUAGAAUUGAGCAUGGAAGCCACCUUAGCCAGUUUACUAGUAACUUGCUACAAAAAUAAAUUUAAAUCUCAUAAUUAUUGAUAUUGCUUUUAUGUACCAGGAGGGGCAUUCUAAUCAACAUAGCCACUACAGCCCAGCAUAGAUUUACUGAGAGUGCUGGGCCAACACAUUGCAGCCAAUCAAUGUCAUCCAAGUUUGGUGCAAUUUAUUAUUAUUAUUAUUAUUAGCAUUUAUAUAGUGCCAACAGAUUCUUCUGCACUUUACAACAUUAUUAAUAUUAUUGUCAAGCAAACUUUGUGCUCCCAUCUCACACUUAAAUGUUUUGGCAUUUAACCUCUUCUCUGCUAAAACACAUAGAACUAUGCAUUAAAAAUGGCCCCUAUUUUCUUAAGGCAUUAUACAGAUAAUGUAUUUAAAAAAUUUUCACAAAAUUUAAAAAAUAAAUGUAAAAAAUAUAUAUUUUCAGCAGCCACACUGGUCCCCAGGGAAAGGAACCACUCCAACUCUCCCAAAUUUAAUUAUAACGUCAUUUGUGAGUGUGUAAGAUAAUGGGUGUGUCUGUCUGUCUGUCAGUGAAUGUGUAUGUCUGUCAGUAAGUGUAUGUGUCUGUUUGUCUGUCUGUCAGUGACUGUGUGUGUCUGUCAGUGAGUGUGUCUGUCAGAAUGUGUGUGUGUCUCUGUCUGUCAGUGAGUGUGUCCGUGUGUGUGUCAUGGCAGUAUGUGUGUCUGUCAAUUAAUGUGUGUGUAUGUCAGUAGGUGUGUUGGUUUAGGUGACUGCCCCUCAGAUUGCAUGAGAAAGGUGUUUACAUACCUUUUUUUCUCACGCUGUGCCGAUCUUGAUGUGGCUGGCCUUGCCUCCAUGGCUCAAGAUUGAUGAUUUUAGCCAAUCAAAUGCCUUCCCAUAGAAAAGCAUUGGGAAGCUACUGCACAUGCUCAAAAUGCUGCACCAAUCAGCAUCUCUUCAUAGAAUUGCAUUGAAACAAUCUAUCUUUAUAAGGAACGUUUUACGCCUCCAUGCAGAGUGUGCAGCACUGAGAUAAGAAGCACCUUUAGUGGCUGUCUGAGUGAUUGCCACUAAAGGUGUUAAUAAGCAGCAAUGUAAACACUGUCUUUUCUCUGAAAAAGCAGUGUUUACCUUGAAAAGCCUGCAGGUACAGGCUAUAGACUAGAGAACCACUACGUUAAGCUGUAGUGGCUCUGGUGACUAUAGUGUCCCUUUAAGCAAUGUAUUUUUGUAGUUUGAAAAUAAAGUUUUGUUAGUUAACAAAAACCUGGUAGCUAACUUUUUUAGCUGGCUUCUAGAUUCAAAGAAAAUGUGUCAAGCACUGCACGAAGAAGUCAUUCCAUAGCAAAAAAAAGUCUAUUAAAUAGAAAGUCUGCUGGUACAUGCUUCUUUAUGCUUCUAUACAAAGGUAUACAUGUUAAAACUGAGCUUUCCUUUGCUGUUUCAGAAAAUAAAGGUGAUUUACAUGUUGCUUUUAAUGUUUAGCUCCCUUAUGUGCUGAAUGGGAAGUAUAUAUUCUUUUCUUUAAAGGACCGCUAUAGGCACCCAGACCACUUUAGCUCAGUGAAGUCUAGGAUUAACCCUGCCUGCUGAAAACAUAGUUUCAGAAAAACUGCUAUGUUUAAAUAUGGGUUAAUCCAGCUUCUAGUGGCUGUCUCACUGACAGCUACUAGAGGCGCUUCCGCACUUCUCACUGUGAUUUUCACAGUGAGAAGACGCCAGCGUCCAUAGGAAAGCAUUCAGUAACGCUUUAGUAUGGAGUGACUGAAUGCGUGCGCGGCUCUUGCCGCGCAUGCGCAUUCAGCCGAUGACAUCGAAAGGAGGAGGAGCAUCCCCAGUGCAGAGGGAGGCCGGCGCUGGAGAAAGGUAAGUGUUUAACCCCUACCUCCAACUUCAAUCUGGCGGGAGGGGGGCCAUGAUGGUGGGGGGGACCUAUUAAUAUUAUAGUGCCAGGAAAAUGAGUUUGUCUUCCUGGCACUAUAGUGGUCCUUUAAACUUCUGCAUCACACCCAGAAUAUUUAAAGUAUUUCUGCCAAUAGAAAAGCAGUACUCGUGUGAGGAGCCACCAAUUGAUUGAUCCUUAUGGCAGACUUCAAUUUAUUUUUCCUGGCCUAAUCACACAAAACCGUUUUAAUAGCAAAGCUCUAUGAUCACAAUUGGCCCAUGUGUGUACAGAUGAAAAGAGUCAGAGAACCUUUAUGGCUGGUCUAUAUUGUGGAUCCACGUUAACCUUUCCCCCCACCCCCCACAACAGCUGCCUUUAGUAGCUAUUUACAUGUGCGUUCAUCAAUUGUAUAAGUAACAAGAUAUUUUUGAAUUAAUGUUAAUUAUUAGAAUUCAUUAAAAUAAGGUACAAUAAACCUGUUGGUUUUUUUUUCCCUUAAAACAAUUAACAUAUUUUUGAAAACUUCUACAACCCUAAAUCGUUUCACAAAUAAACUACAGAAACAAAAGAAAUAAACUGGGUGCCUGUCGUAACAGGAAGGCACAUACCCUUGGAUUAAUAGAUAGCAACGUGUCCAACGGUAAAUCUGGGAUUGGCAGAAACAUAUAAAACAGAUUAAAAAGAAGCACCAGUGGCUUGUAAUGGACAAUUCUGAGUGGAGCGGAAUGCGCAUGCAUGGCAAGAGCCUCGCGCGCAUUCAAACAGUCCACAGGGAAGCAUUUCUCAAUGCUUUUAUAUCGACGUUCUGCACGCUGGAUGUGAUUUUCGCAUCCAGCAUCGCAGGAGCGCCUCUAGCGGCUGUCAGGAGGACAGCCACUAGAGGUUGGAUUAACCCUGCAAUGUAAACAUAGCAGUUUCUCUAAAACUGCUAUGUUUACAUCUGAAGGGUUAAAAGCUGGGGGACCUGGCACCCAGACCACUUCAUUGAGCUGAAGUGGUCUGGGUGACUAUAGUGUCCCUUUAACACUCUUUUGAACUUGGCCAGUUCUUCACAAUUUUUGGUUUCAUAAAUUCACCCAUCACUGUAGCAAUAGAUAAUCUUAUACUGUGAUAGAAUGAUCACUAGUGAGUUGGUUAAUGACAACAGUCAGUUACCUAUUUCCAAAACGAUAUAUCCACAAAGCAUUUUUGGAUCCUUUUGUGGAGGAAAAAAAAUUGUUUAAUCAAGCAUUUUUUAUCAUUAAUUAUAAUUUAAUGUUUUUGAAAGUUUCCGUUUCAUCCAGUAAAAUUUCCACCUUUGUUACUUAAACUGUCAGAAACAUUAUAGAACACGCUGUGGAGACAGGUGCAAUGUUCUCUGGGAUCUGUAAAUCAAAGGUUCUAAUUUCUGUCAUGUUGUAAGAACAAGACAUCUAUGUUAUUCUAUGGAGGUAAUUCAUCAACAUGUCUAACAUUUCUCCUUGCUUGAUUAAUAUGCACCAAGGAACGACACAAAAAGAUUCUGUAUUUAUCUCAUGUAAGAGAAAUAAGAACUUUUGACAAAGAGACCCCAUUGUGUUCGUUAAAGCACCAUAUUAACAGCUCCCACCUCACUGUAUUAUGCAUGAGAGUAUAUAACCGUGCACAGUAUAAUGCGGAAAAAAAAGGUAAUUUUAAGUAAAAGGGAAAAAAAGCAGCUCAUGCUAUUUAUAGAAUAUAGGAUGAAGUUCAAUUAUUGUGGCACAUGUGGGAGAUGGAGACCAAUUCUUUCAACAGAUGCUCAGUGGCGUCAUAAUCUUCUUAAAUAAAUUUAAAAAAAAAAGAAAAAAUCAGAUGUUGGACUUGAUAAGUCUUAUUGUAUACCCCUUCAUUGCCAGAUGUGUAUGAAAUACAUUGUGCUGUGAAGUAUUCUAUUUAAGGACAUACAUAAGCUUCUCUUCCAAUACUGGCACAUAAAGGGAGUGAAGAUUCCUCAAAUCACAUUCAGUUUUCUUUGCAAGUUAAAGGAACACUACUGGCACCCAGACCACUUUUCAUUUGGGUCCCUGUCUCCUUAACCCUGGAAUGGUAAUUAUUGCAGUUUUUGAGAAACUGCUAGAAUUACCUUGCAGGGUUUAAACUGCCUCUAGUGGCCUCUAAAGACACUGCCUGGUGGUCAGGCGAUUUUUGGUCGUCUAACUCAGUGUUUCCCAACCCAGUCCUCAAGGCACACCUUCUUCUUUGUAAAAACACCUUAGACACAACUGGGUAAUCCCUAAAUCCUGGACUGGUAGGUGUGCCUUGAGGACUGGGUUGGGAAACACUGGUCUAACUGACAAUGAACAUCCUCAUACUCUGCAUGAGGACAUCCAGCAUCAGUCAAUGCCCCACAUGAAAGCAUUGCAGCAAUGCUUUCCUAUAGUAAUGGCCUAAUGUGCUGGUGGCGUCAUGCGCAUAACCCAUGCGCAUUAGCCACCCCCCAUUGGGCGACAUCGGAGUUGGCAGAGCACCAACCGAGCGCCGAGGGACAUCGGUGCUAGAAUCAGGUAAGUACAGUAAAAGUAUUUUAACCCUUACUAUGCAAUUGGAAGAGGCACAAGGGAGAAGUGUGGGGCAUGAGGGAGCUAUAGUAGGUGUCUUUCUCCCAAUCCCUGGUCUGUCUCUCUUUCCCCUUUCACAGCCCCUCUGCGCAGUGUUAAUUUUGGUGGCAAAUUUCAAUUUAGUUUUAGUCAUAGUCUUUUGAGUAAAGAGCCAUUAUAACUUUAGAAGUAUUUUAGUCAUCUGAAUUAGUUUAGUUUUACUCUCGUUUUAGUGGACGAAAUCUCAAAACUUUUAGUUGACUAAAAUUUUACUAAAAUUUUUAGUUGGCACAAUUAACACUGAUUCCUAGCACUAUAGUAUCCCUUUAAAGAGAACUAGUGCAUUUGUUAGAGAGAUGUUUCUUACUGCUUGCAAGGAGGACCCUUGUCACUAGGUCCCUGCACACAGUUGCUUAAUUACAUGCAAGAAUGUAGCAAUAAGCCCACCUCUUCAUUCACUUACAUCACAAGCGGAAGCUGUGUUGUACAUGCUCUUGUAUGGAGUUUGUCCACACGGUCUCCUACACAUUCUGUCUUUCAGUAUAUAUAUUUAAAUUGCAGUUACAAUGUUGAACUAAAUGGUUUGCACAAAUAAAGCAUUUUAGUCGAGCAUAAUGUAGUUAUACAAUUUUGAACUGACAGUACAUUUGUGUGGGCUGGUUUUCAGGAGUUGUCUUCGCUCUUUGGUAAAUCUUAAGCGAAAUUAACCAGUUAAUUAGAACUAAGCAAGAAAGAACAUAAACAAUAUAUAGGAAGAUAUAUUCAUUAAUUACUUUAACAUUUACCAAAAGUCUAUAAAUGGAGCUUGAGACAGAAUCAGCCAGGGUAACAAAGCUAUUAUUAUAGCUAGCAAAUAGAAUAUAUAGUUUGAUUUAAAUAUCUUUAAUCUGUAUAUUUGCUUAUGGUUUAUACAGCACAACAAAUAGAUUAAUUGUCUACCUACCUAAAGGGGACCUGUGAAAUUAGAUGCAGGGGUGUUUCAAAUUUGUGUUGAACCAAUUAUUAGAAGUGUCCAUAAUAUUAAAUAUUUCUAGCUGUAUAAUAUAUGUAAAAACUAUUCCACUCAAAAUAUAAUAAUACAGCUGCUACUGGGAUUAUACCACUUUUUUUUGUAAUCACAUUUUUUUAUUGAGUAGUUGAGCUUGUCAGGCAAAAACAAAAUUACAAUGGUAAAUAAAAUCCCCUACUACAAUUUUUAUAAUAGUUUUCAAGUUAAGUCCAAAGAACAUAAUAUGUACGUAGCAGAGUAAAUGCUGCCGAAGAUUAGUCAGCCAGAGCAAAUGGAGCAUGAGAAUAUAUAAUACAAAUUGAUACAUCGCUUUGAAAUCAAAGUGUCGGGAGAGAGAGAGGCGAAGUAACCACAAGUAAGAAACGCCGAUUAGCGAGAAAGUACAGUUUGACUGCAUCCAAGAAAUCUAUGACAGAUAAAACCAAAGACAUUUGUAAAAGAAAAAAGUUGCUUUAAAAUGACCUCUCUGACCUAGCACAUUCAUUAUGUCAUAGCCCUUGGACUUCAUAGAAUUGUGUGACUGAUUGCCAUCAUUAGCGUUUGCUUUGUCUUUGACAUUGGAAUCCUUUUUGAAAAGGGAAACACUAGGGGGCAGGGCUUGAGCUUCAUGGUGGCCAGAUGCAUCUUCCUGGAGCUCCUCAUCUUCAUGAUUCAAUCAACCAUUUUUCUGUAUACCAGCAAUCUCAGCUAGCACUAAAACAGCCCUACCUGUCGACUGUACCAGCCAGAAUGACCUGGAUCGGUACCACAUGGUGCCAGUCAGCAGAUCUCUUUGGAGAAACUGUGGGGCCUAGUGCAGAGCUGCGCGGGAGAGGCGGCCGCUCUCCCUAGUCGGUGUGGCAUUGACCCUUGCAGAAAUCUUCCACUGUUCCAUCCUCUCUGUCGGUGGGGGUAUCCUGGCCCCCACUGGACUGGACUACCUAAACAUACUUUUCUCCAACUCACAAAGAUGGCAGAAACCUUCUCUCUAAUCAGGGAAAGCCUUAUUCUUCUUCAGACCAUUCAACCCAGGGCAAUCGAUGGAUCCCUCAAAAAGCUGGACGCAAUUUUUGAGAGAUUUUGGGCUGCUGUGGACGUGCAUACAGCUGCAGCACCCCACUUGCCUCUGGGGGGGUGAUCAGUGGAGUGAGCAGCAAGAAGUGAGGGGGCCCCCUCCAGGAUUUAGCAUGCAUGCAAGUGCCAGUCCUUACCACUAUUCUCCCACCUGGGCUGAAGGUCAGUAGGGCUUUGGCCUCAAAGAAUCGCCCACACCGGCAAAGGACUGUCCACUGAAAGUGGCAAGAAACGAGUGCGUCCUUCUGCUCUCCCAUGCAUGGGAAGGCCUUGGACUCUGCGAGUCCCCAAGUCUGUGGCCGAGAGAUGGCAAAUUUACUCAUCAUAUGCCAUACCUCGAUCCCGUUUCACAGCUGCCUUCUGCCACCCUAUUGUGAAUCCCAGAUGCUUCCCGAUUUCUGGAAUCGGAUGAUUGGAGACCCCUCGUUCCCUGAAGGUCACCUGCUUAGGAUUAGAGUUAACAUGCUUUCAGUGGACGCCAUCUUGCUCUUAUGUUUUUAUAUUGCUAUUGGCCUGUUGUCUUUUAACUUAUUUUAGUUUUCUUCCCAGUGGUAAUUUUCAGCCUAUUACCUAUUUCUAUAGCAUGUUAUAAAGUGAUCUUAUUAAUAACCCUUUCUGUACAAUGAGCCUAUACCAUGCUUUUUGUUUCCUACCAUCCUAAUCCUGAAUAGCCAUAUGUACCUACCUGUUAUCUCCCUAAUUUAAAAAAAAAGAGGCAGACUUAACUAGGAGUUUAUUCCCUUGCACUAAUUAGCAAUGCAGUACUCCUGUUUUUCUUCAUGCUAAGCUUGUAUACACGUGUGAAUGUUUGUUAUAACUCUUUUAUAUGUGUGAUCUUAUUCCUCCUUACCCCAAAUAAAAAAAGAGAUUGACAAAAAAUAAAUAAAAGGGAAACACUAUCUACAUCCCAGACAGCUGCAAUUGAAAUCUUUGCGAGUCACUUUUGGAUAAAUCAAUAUCUAGGGCCUAUAAAAGUGCCUGAGAUUGAGAAAAGUCUUGAAGCUUUACCACCAUUCCACCCUUGUUUCCUGUCCAAGAUCUAUGAUAUUUCAUUAAGUGGUCUCUUAAGUAAUAUGUCUUAGAGGCAACCUCCAUUUAAAGGAGAUAAUAUGGCAAAAAGUCAUUGCAAGGGAUGGGAAAUUGUAUGAGGGAUAUCCAUGUCUCUCUUGCUAUUGAGCACUGCUGUUUAACUGUUGCUUUAGUUGAACAAUCACUUUUAAUGACCUCUGUGGCCAGGCGAGGUUUAGCCAGGUGGUAGCUUCCUUUGGUAUAUAAAUAUUCUAUCCCUUCUAGACCAGCACCAGGAAGCGGAGAUCAAUGAUAGGGGUACUGUAGCUGUGCAGUGACAAUCUGUUAAGACUUGUUUUGGAUGCAUGUAAUAUGAAUCUUUCGCCUUAAUCUUUUCUUCAAGUAUCUCUAGAUCCAGUGAUCCAACAAAGAUGCCCUUUGUCUUUGUCUUUAAGGAGCACCUUAAUAUCCACUCUAGAUGAGUAAGUGCCAUUGCUCUAUGUAAGGACUGGUUAUGCGAGCUUCUUCCUUCAGUCCCGAUUCAGUCCAGAGCUCAAAGAAAUUCCAUGGAUUCUUUGUAGACCUACAAUGUCCCAUGUAAUGCAGAUGUUUUAUGCAACUGUACCUGUCGGUUUAUGAUUAUAGUUUAUACAUUAUGAUAGAAUUUUUAAAAAGUUGUAUGUUCCGAAAUACAAUCAGGGUCAUAACAAAUACCUAUAAACAUAAUGAUGUAUGCAUUCUCACUUACCUAUGAUUGAUAUAUCCUAUAUAUCCAACUAUAUGUGACAAAAAUUUAUGUUGCUAAUAUAGGAAACCCUGUCUGAGAUAUGUUAAGAUAAAAGACAUAAAUUGAAUGUUUUAUAUCCCACCAAUUGAUCCUACAAAGGGUGAAGAAGGAGGGAAAAAGUAGACAUAUCUACCUGAACAUCUUGCUCUUUACAACUGCCAACUUCUUCAUCCUGGUGUUCAACACCUGGUGGCUUAAUCUAUUCAGAGUGGAAAAUAAAAUUCUAAGGAAGUUCUGACCAAGCUUCUAUAGAUUUGGUUAAUGACCAACAAGGUGCCAGCAUCUCAAAAGAAGAUGCUUGUUCCCAUCAGCCAUCAUAAGUGAGGAAUUAUUGUGAUAGCGUAAAGUGAUCAGUAUAUUGGAUGGUAAGGGGAUUACAUAGGAGGAGUAUUGUUCUGGGCUGGGGAUGAUGAGGCAAUUACAGGCAUGCAAUAAUGUUACUCGGGCUAAUUAAGGAAUUACAGGGAUUGGGUGAGGUGUUUAUGGGGUAGGCUGUGCGGAUUAAGGGUAUUAGGACAAUGUGAUAAGGAUUGAAGGGAAUAUAGUAUUAUAUUUGUUAGUUGAAGGGUUUGUGGGGAUAUUGGUUAUGAGUGGAUUAGGAAGUCGGGUGAUGUGAUGGUUGGCUGAGGGAUGAGUGGUUAUGUAAUUAUUAUUAACAUUAUGAGUGGGCCAUGAGGGGAUUAAACGGCUGAACUAAUGUGACUGAUGGAGAUUAUGGAGCAGGAGUGAUGAGGUGAGUUGAAUAUUAGAGCCUCCUCUGUCUACCAAUAGCCAUAUUUUGCCAAGGAAAUUGGGUCCAAUAUCAUGUAAACUAAUCCAUAUUUUACUGAAAUUCCAGUGCAAAUUGAGCAAGACUUCAUAAAAAUCCUUGUAAAAAAUAAAUAAAUAAAAAGUGACAUUGGCAUUUUAACUGCAUCAGGUGGUGUUACAUAUGGUCCAUGAGCGUUCUUAUUAUACUUCAUACCUCGCACCAGGGUGUGCGGACCUAAGAGGGGGUAUCACCUAUAAUUGAGCAUGCCCAUUGAAGGACCACAUGGGUCUGUCUGGUUGGCCUCCAUUACACUGCAGUGAUGAUGAUGCCCUUGCUCUGUGAUGCUCAAGAACAAUUCCCUGGUGUCCCCCUACAGGACACCAAACAACUAAAUCGGGACAUUGGGACAGGACUCCAAAAUCAGGACUGUCCUGCCAUAAUUGGGAUUGUUGGGGGGGCCUGCAAUUCUUGUAAUCCAAAAAUAGGAAGAGCUUAGGGUUCCAUGUGAUUUGUUUGCGGUGUACUUUUAGCAUGACUCCAAAAUCUUAGGUCUUCUAAAAGCCAGACUAGAGGUAAUAAAGACUAGAGGUAAUAAAAGAGUUUGCACAAAAAAGCUCCCCUUGCCUUCUAGUUUUAGAGGUUUCACACUGUGGAAGCCUGCACCCAUAGCUCUCCUUCCAAGCUCAGUUUUAGAUGAUGCUGCUCAGUUCAUUAAGAUGCUAAUUGAUAUAAUAAUAUGCCUGAACCCCUGAGUUGACGACACAGCUGGUUGUAGGAGCUAUGAAUAUCUCUGAGUCAGGCUGUGCCGGCUGCGGCUUUAAAACGCACGGUUAACCAUUUCAUAGCUAGUUACCAUUAAAUUCCCUACUAUAGCCUGUAAGAAGUUUAGAUUAGUACAUACAUAUUGUUUAUGAUGCAGAAGAGGCAGGGGCAGACUGAGGAGGUUCUGUGAAGAUGCCAGUAUACAUCACUUCUGUAUUGACAGAAAUGUUGUCAAUCACAAAUCCUUUUACUGUCUAUGAGAAAGGGUGCUAGAAAGUCAUGCAUAACAACUGUUAUAUAAAAAUGAUAAUAGAUUACAAUAACAUCCCAGCGCUGUCUGAGCCUGUCCUGAUAAUCUGCUGCCAGGAUCUCACCCUAUAAUACAUAUAAACCCAGCACUACCUGAGCCUGUCCUGAUAGUCUGCAGCCAGAAACUCACCCUAUAUUACAUAUAAACCCAUCGCUGUGUGAACCUGUCCUGAUAAUCUGCAGCCAGGAGCUCACCUUACAUUACAUAUAAACAAUGCGCUGUCUGAGCCUGUCCUGAUAGUCUGCAGCCAGGAGCUCACCCUAUAUUACAUAUAAACCCAGCGCUGUGUGAGCCUGUCCAGAUAAUCUGCGGCCAGAAACUCACCCUAUAUUACAUAUAAACCCAAUACUGUCUGAGCCUGCCCUGAUAAUCUGCUGCCAGGAUCUCAUUCUAUAUUACAUAUAAACCCAAUACUGUCUGAGCCUGCCCUGAUAAUCUGCUGCCAGGAUCUCAUUCUAUAUUACAUAUAAACCCGGCACUGUCUGAGCCUGUCCUCACCCUACAUUACAUAUAAACCCAGCACUGUUGGAGCCUGUCCUGAUAAGCUGCAGCCAGGAGUUCACCCUACAUUACAUGUAAACCCAGCACUACCUGAGCCUGUCCUGAUAGUCUGCAGCCAGGAGCUCACCCUAUAUUACAUAUAAACCCAUCGCUGUGUGAACCUGUCCUGAUACUCUGCAGCCAGGAGCUCAUCUUACAUUACAUAUAAACGACGCGCUGUCUGAGCCUGUCCUGAUAGUUUGCAGCCAGGAGCUCACCCUAUAUUACAUAUAAACCCAUCGCUGUGUGAGCCUGUCCAAAUAAUCUGCAGCCAGAAACUCACCCUAUAUUACAUAUAAACCCAAUACUGUCUGAGCCUGCCCUGAUAAUCUGCUGCCAGGAUCUCAUCCUACAUUACAUAUAAACCCAGCGCUGUGUGAGCCUGUCCUAGUAGUCUGCAGCCAGGAGCUCACCCUAUAUUACAUAUAAACCAAAUACUGACUGAGCCUGUCCUCACACUACAUUACAUAUAAACCCAGCACUGUCUGAGCCUGUCCUGAUUUUCAGCUGCCACAAGCUCACCCUAUAUUACAUAUAAACUCAGCGCUGUGUGAGCCUGUCCUGCUAAUCUGCAGCCAGGAGCUCACUGUACAUUACAUAUAAACCCAAUACUGUCUAAGCCUGUCCUGAUAAUCUGCAGGCAGGAUCUCACCAUAAAUUAGAUAUGUGCCCAGGACCUUCUCAGACACCCCUCUACCAUCCGCAGCCUCAAAUAAUGUUGCAUGCACACUCCUACAUUUGCUUUACAUACAAUACAAAGAGGUAUUUCAUAUUUAUAAACUCAAUUUACAUACAAUACCCGGUUAUUUACUCACCCAACCCCUUUUACACACAAUAACAUUUUUCUAUGUUUAUAUAAAACUUACACAUGUGUGAGAUACUCCCAUAUCCCUUUUCCUGACCUUUACUGCCAGCUACAAUAAGUAAAAGCCUUCUCAGGUGCAUAUAAACCUGUAAGCACAUGCCUUCUCUAAAUAUAUUGGCAAAAAAAAAAGCCUUUGAAAAGUUUUUAGUUUUAUAAAGCAGAUGAGUUUGGAAUAAAAAGAUACAAUUUGGUACAGAUACAAUACUCUUCCCGAUAACACCCACUAGAUAGAGGUAAACGGUUAAAUCUGUCUUCCUCUCUCACUUUUCUCCUGGUUUUGCUGUGAGAAACAUACGUUGGUAACAGCUUGCUCUGAGCCUGCGUUGGCGAAAUAAACCUUUACUUUUAUAUUAAUUUAAAAUACCAUCAUAUUUGUACGUCAUUUACAAGUCUCAACUGGUAAAGGUACGGAUACUUUGGGCCUUUUCCUCAUUAAUGUACCAGUUUCUAGACACAUGAUGCCAGUCAGUGAUUUCCGCUGUCUCCAGCAUCAGUAAUGCUGUGAACAAUGAAUGUUUGUAGAUUUCGUAUACAAUCCCAUGCCAACGACUAGUCUCGAACAGUACGGAAUACAACCAAACUCACCUUUACGUAUCACACACAGAGAGUUUACAGUAAUUAACAAUUACAUUUCUCAGGAGACAAACUGAAUGAAAGACAUGUGGAAACAAAGAAUAUUUCAUGUGGUCUACCGGAAGCUUUACAAAGUGGCAUUGUCAUUUUACCAAAGAUUAGCAAUGAACACGACAAAGAACUAAUCUAAAACACUUGACAGAUAUCCCUACUAUAAAGAGCCCUCUGUAGGUGCCCUGGCACCCUCUCAGAGUUAUUUGUCAAAUUGUUUAAGAAUGGUUUAUCAAGUUUCUUAAAGGGACACUCCAGGCACCCAGACCACUUCUGCCCAUUGGAGUGGUCUGGGUGCCAACUCCCACUACCCUUAACCCUGCAAGUGUAAUCAUUGCAGCACUUUUGGAGAUUUGUCUUGACCAUUUUGACCCUGAGGAAGUUCAGUUAUCUGAACGAAACGCCAAGGGCUUGUUUUUUAGUACUUAGAGUUUCUUUAUUUUGUUCCUUUUGUUUUUUAGGCUCAUUCACCUUUUAUUGGAAACUACCGAAUAAACUGCUGAACGGCCGACCACCCUGUCUGUGGAGUGUUCUGCUUAUUAGCCCCCUAGAAGCUGCAGUUAACCGGCGUCCGUUUGCCUAACGCGUGGCGGCGGCCAUUUUAAAUCGCUGAAUGGUAGUUUGUCGUCGAUGCUCUGGAACUAUUUUCGGACACUUAUUUAGACGAACGCCACUGAAGCUCACCAACCUCCAUCCCAUUAGUUUAUUUAGGCACGAACACUAAACCGUUCGGGACUUUCAACAUACGAAAGAGACCAACCCCAGAUAGCUGGAAGCACGGAGCUGUUUUCGGAUACAUUUUGCAAAAACAGCCGGUGAACUAAAACUUUGACUAGAUGGCAUUUCAACUGUUUUCUCGGGAUCUGAGCGCUAUUUGGCUAUAUUGUGCGCUCAGAUCCGAGCUAUCUGGGGGUGCGUUGGACAUGGGGACUCUAUUCGGCAAAAUAUGAGUUAUGGAUUUUUAUACAGUUUUGUUAAAAUGUAAAACCGAAAUGUUUCUCUCUACCUGGAGAAAAUUAGGUUUUCUCCAACCACUUAAGCCAAUUAUCUCCAGAAUAGAGAGGUGUGGUUUUACUGUUACUGUGGGUGUGUUUAAUAAUUGUACUGUACACAAGGCCGUCUAUAAUAUGAAUAGGACCCUGGGCAAAUAAUUUUGUUGGGCCCCUGGGGCCCUGCAGCCCUCCCAAUCCCCCCUCGCCCCCAAUUACACCCAACCCCCAAUCACACUGACAUACUGACACAUACACACACAGACAGACAUAUUAAAACAUUCACAGAUACAUACUAACACACACAUACACUGACACACAAAUAUAUACUGGCAGACAUAUUGACACACAUUCAGACAUACUGACACACACAUAUAUACACACACAGACACAUACACUGACAGAUAUACUGACACACACAGACACUGAUAGAAAUACUGACACACACACAGACAGACGUAUUGACACACACAGACAUGCUGACACACAUAGGCAUACUGACAUACACACAGACACACUGACACACACACAGGCAUACUGACAUACACACAGGCAGACUUACUGACACACACACACAGACACAUACACUGACAAACAUACUGACACACACACAGACACAUAAACUGACAGAAAUACUGACACACACACAUACGCUGAGAGAAGUAUUGACACACACAGACAUGCUGACACACACAGGCACACACAGGCAUACUGAUAUACACACACUGACACACAGACAGACACACAGACAGACAUACUGACACACACACAUACAUACUGACACACACACAAACAUACUGACAAACACACAGACAUACUGACAAACACACAGACAUACUGACACACACACACAGACAGAUAUUUGACACACACAGGCAUACUGACAUACACACAGACAGACAUACUGACAUACACACAGACAUACUGACACACACACAGACACACAUACACUGACAGACUAUUGACACACACACAGACAUGCUGACACACACAGGCAUACUGACAUAACACACAGACAUACUGACACACACACUCACAGACAUACUGACACACACAGACAUACUGACAUACACACAGACAGACAUACUGUCUGACACACACAGACAUACUGACAUACAUUUAGCCACCCUCCAACCACCCUUACCUUUUCUGGAGAGUGGUUUCCCUGGGGUCCAAUGGCAGGCUGAGGCAGUUGGGAGUUAUCCUCUGAAACUCCCCUCCUCCCUGCUUUCCUCCUCCCGCGCGGCUCUGAUCUCCGGUAGGAGGAAGUGACGCGCGACACUCACUUCCUCCCAGCCGGCUGCCAAACAGGAAGGGGCCCGGUGACGCUGUUUAAGCGUCACAGCGCCCGACCGGGCCCCAGCUGACAAAUGCCCACCGGAUGGCCCUUAGUGCAUGGGCCACCCGGGGGCCCUCUUUAGCGUGUGGGACAGAGCCGCACCGCCGGAUCCAAGGGGGGCUGCGCAAAUCGCGGGGGCCCGCAGGGCAGCUGCUCUGGGGCCCCCCAGGAGCAACUGGGCCCGGGGCAGCUGCCCCAUUUGCCCCGCGCUAAAGACGGCCCUGACUGUACACUGAUUGGUUCUGUAUUUUGUGUCACAGUUUCCCACAAGGUCCUUUGUGAGAGUUCCCUUGCUGUGAGACCAUCAUAAAAGGCUGAGUUUGGCCAGCAUUAAACCAGAUCGUUUUACCCCUUCAUGAAGUCUCGACUCAUGUUUUGGGGAUUGGGAGCUAUAAUCACUGCUGUGCUCUACUUCAGCUGGGAUUUCAGGAGAAGCUACAAGGAUCAGCUCUGCAGGGAUAGCAGGAUCCUUUACAAAAAGUAAAUCAUGCUAGGGAACAAUCCUUACAUGUAUGUACUCAAUGGCUUAAAUGAACUGGAACACCAAGAUAGCUAGCAAAAUUGCGAGUUUGCUUGAAAUGUACAACUGUGUGGGUUAACGUAUAACGAGAGACAAAGAACCUUUCCAUGCCAAUGGUCACGCUGCUACAAUGUCAUGUAACCAACAUUUAAGCUUUAAGACAAGGGAAAUAAACAAAAUAAGAAAUUAAAAUUUGAAAAUUAAAUCAUGAUGGUGUUCCUGUAAGACAUAUCAUUAUGGGAUGGGCAUGCGACCUGGACAAACCGAGGCCAACUUUAAGCUGCUAAGGAGAAGGCCUAGAGCUACAACUUCUACUAUGUGCACCAUCAGCAUUCAUCUGAUACCCAAAUGUGUCUUCGAUCCCCCAAGCCAGACAUAAUUCCAGUGAGCCAAAGCAAUCUACUCUGCCAGCCCCAGGCCUCAAAAAAGACCUCAUAUGCGAUCCCCACUGACCCAUUUGCUCUGGGCACCGUGAACAAUGGGAAGCUUCGCGUCGAGUGCAUGUUUUCUCAGGAGGUGUGAGACAAGCACCAGGGACAGCCCCCUCACUGCCCUCAGCCUGGUAACACAGUUGCAGGUAACGGCUACAAUGACGGUCACGCCAGAGGUGGGAGAUCGAGGCAUUUUAUUUCGUAGUUGCAGGUUUGAAGUUGUGGGUACCGCCAGCCUCAGCCAAAUAGCCUUAAAGAUGCAGUCUAACCACUCCAUGAGUGAUACCUUUGGGUCUCACGUGGCAGCAGUAUCAGGUGUGUCCGCCAUCUUGUCCAGACCUUACAUAGGUAGGGGGUGUGCAGUGUCCCUUUUAACACUGCAAUGUAAAACAUUGCAGUUUUUUUUUUUAGAAACUGCAAUGUUUACAUUGCAGGGUUAAAGGACCACUAUAGGCACCCAGACCACUUCAGCUUAAUGAAGUGGUCUGGGUGCCUGGUCCAGCUAGGAUUAACCCUUUUUUCUGUAAACAUAGCGGUUUCAGAGAAACUGCUAUGUUUACCUAUGGGUUAAUCCAGCCUCUAGUGGCUGUCUCAUUGACAGCCGCUAGAGGGCUUCCGCGCUUCCCACUGUGAUUUUCACAGUGAGAAGACUCCAGCUUCCAUAGGAAAGCAUUGUGAAUGCUUUCCUAUGGACUGGCUGAAUGUGCGCGCAGCUCCUGCCGCGCAUGCGCAUUCAGCCGAAGAGGAGGAGGAGAGCUCCCCGCUCGGCGCUGGAGAAAGAGGUAAGUUUAACCCCUUCCUCCCCCUAGAGCCCGGCGGGAGGGGGACCCUGAGGGUGGGGGCACCCUCAGGGCAGUAAAGUGCCAGGAAAACUAGUAUGUUUUCCUGGCACAAUAGUGGUCCUUUAAGUCCACCUCUAGUGGGUGUCUGUAUGAUAGUGGGUGUCUGUAUGAUCGCCACUAGAGGCGCUUCCAUUGCAGUGACUGAGUAAAACGUAUUAAUAUGAUGCGGAAGCCGCCAUAGAAAGACAUUAAUUCAGCAGAGAGCAUUGGAUUGGACAUCAGCAGAGGAGACCAUGUCUCCUUUGUCACAUUGCAGGAGGUGGAGAAGUAAGUAGCGCAGUGGGAGCUUCGGCGCUGGAAAAAAGUAAGUAAAAUAUUUUUAUUGCAAACAGGGGUGGGGGCUUAUUUCUGACUAAGGAGAGGAACACUAUAGCGGGUUAAUAUUAGUGUUACAUUAAAUAAUAUUUUUAAUGUGCCAUAUAACUGCUACUAUUAGCUGGCAUUAUCUAAUGUAUCUUCAUUUCGAUCCUGGUUUGUACUCAGCCCUCACUAUUUAAUUGCAACGUAUUUAGAAAUCUAUCCCAGCUUCUCUAUUAUACACUGGUUAUUUCCAGAUGAAUGUAAAUUUUCAAACACAUAAGAAAUUGAUGUAUUUUUUUUAUUCGGGGCAGCUUAGUGUGAUUUAAAAUGUAUUUAUAGGGUUACUCUUGACAGGAAGGCUUUUCUACAAACAAACAAAAUGAAAUCCUUUAUUUGUCCUGCAUCUGGCAGGGAAUGAGCUUCUGUGUAUUAUCAAUUUAAAUGGAUCUUUUGGAAAGAAUUUGUUAAAUACACUUAUUUGUUUCCAGAUCAGAAACGUGUUUUUCCCACAUUUCGGUCAAUUCUCUGAUAAUCCCGCUAAACUAAAAUAUAUAAAUAUAUAUUUCUGGAUGUCUUAAAAGUUGUGUAAUAAUAAAAAGUUGAAAACAGAUUUAACAUUUUCUAAAAAUGUUUUAUAAUAAUAAAAAAGUUGAAAACAGAUUUCAGAAGCAUCAAAAUGUCAACAGAAGACAAUUGUCACUCUAAGUUUGCUCAGAGUUUGAUGGUUUACUCGCAGUUGUGCCAUUAUUGUAAUGUUUAGAUGGCCUGCUGACCCUAUAUCAACUUCCCACACUUGGCAUCAUCCACUCACAAUGGUCUAUCUUCCAGAAAAAGAGAUAUAUCACCCACUCCCAUCACCAGAGUUGAUGCCAAGCCCUCUACCUAUGCCUCAUUUAGUGGCACCAAAAUACUAUGAGCUACAUAGUUCCAUCUGGUGGUGAUAGAAGCAAAGAAUGGGAUGGCAGUUAAGAACCAUUCGGCCCAUCUAGUCUGCCAAAUUUUCUAAAUACUUUCAUUAGUCCCUAGCCUUAUCUUAAAUCUAGGCUAGCCUUAUGCCUAUCCCAUGCUUACUUAAACUCCCUCACUAUGUUAACCUCUAACACUUCAGCUGGAAGGCUACUCCAUGCAUCCACUACCCUCUCAGUAAAGUAAUACUUCCUGAUAUUAUUUUUAAACCUUUGCCCCUCUAAUUAAAGACUAUGUCCUCUUGUUGUGGUAGUUUUUCUUCUUGUUUUUGUGUCAUUCUUUGUUUUAUUUAGAUAUAUUGCAAAAAAAAUGCAAAUCGUCACAAAUUAAACAUGCAUGCCUAGUCCUAGUUGGUAUAGUGAGCUUGCAAUCGAGUAAGAUGGCUAGACACAUGGCUAACUUAGAAUAAAGGGGUGUUAAGAAAACAUGCUUGUGAGUCAUGUGGACAACCUAGGUUAGAUAUGACUGGGAACUGGCCACUGUGUGGGCAGGCAGAGCAGGUGGAACUCAAAACUGGUGUGUAAUUUGCAUGAGGGGAAAUUACACUGGCAAUAAGCCUUUGAGCCUAGCAUUCUAGAAAGUGGUAUUGCACUGUAUAAGAGUAAAAAAGAAAUAUAAUGGAUAAUUACAAGAAAAACAUAAGGAACGCAGAGACAUCAACUAUAGGCUUAGGAGGCACAGACAGAAGCAGUAUUGUGUCCAUCAUUAGUAGAGAGAGCGCUGAAUGAAAAUAAUAGAGCUGUCCAAGUAGGCAAAAACCCUUUCCAGCCAUGGAAAAGGGCAUCAACCAGAUAUCCAGCCUGACUCAUGAAGAGAGUGAGACAAGGCCACCUUCCAGCCUCAGGCCUGUACGGAGGCCAAUAUCUUGUAACCAUGGACUCUGUACCUCUGGGAGUCCACGUUCUGCCUAUAUUUGUGGUAGCAGUGUCACGUAUUAUUCGUCACCAUGUGUCAAAAACGGAGAUAAUUACCUUCUGAAGAUAGAGGGCAGUGCCGCUCGGUGGUCUUCUGCUAUCAUGCCUGGCUUUUGCAGCAUGUCGUUUGACGCCGGCUUCUGCGGACCCAUGCAAUUAUAUAGCCCCAUGUCCAUCCACGGUAAAGACAACGUUGAUGUACGGGUGACGUCAGGCAAAAGAUGAACACGCACGUUUUGGGGUCAAGGGCUUGGUACAGCCAAUCGGAUCUGCAAAGGGGUUAUUUAAACUUUCAUAUUCACUUAGCUCAUUGCCCUGUCAUGGUUUCCCCUAGAUGGUUAUCCGAGAGUGUGUUCCUGAUUGUGUUUUUCUGGUUUUUGACUUCGUUUUGACUUCAAUGAUUUCUGGUACCCUUGACUUUUGACUUUUCCUUAUCACUGUGUAUCGUUCUGUGUCCCUGACCUUGGCUAGUUUUCAGACUAUUCUCGGGUACGUUAAGUCAAGGUGUGUUUGUCAGAGAUGCAGUCUGUGUGUGUGAGGGGUGCAUUGUGUGAGGGGUGCAGUGUGUCUGGGGGGCCCUAAGGUGGACAGCCGGUCAGCUCUUGGACGCCCCAUGAAAGAGGCUAACAAGGCAACUGUCAUGGCGCUUGGGGGGGGGCAACUUUUUAGCUGCCCCCCUCAAAGUGCUGCCCAAGGCAAAUGCCUUGUUAGCCUUGUGGAAAAUACAUCGCUGGGUGUGUGUGUGAGGGGUGUAGUGAAUUUGUGAGAUUUGUGAGGAGUGCAGUGUGAGGAGUGCAGUAUGUGUGUUUGAUGGGUGCAAUGUUUGAAAGUGCUAGAAGGCUUAAAUUGUGUGUGUGUGGGGGGGGGGGUGCAUUAUUAUUGAAUUUUUAAACAAUACUAAUAAACGUUAUAUAUACCCUCCACUACAUCCUUAACUUUACUCAGGGAGGGGGACAUUUCCUGCAAGCCCUGGUGGGAAGUGAACUCUUGUCACGGCUCCUCCUCCUCAGAAAUUCAGCCUCUGUGCAUUGCCAUGGUAACUGCAGCAACUUCACGAAAAGAAGAACACGGAGGAGCUGCAGGCUAGAGCUCCCGGGUCUUCUCCCUUUUUCUUCCUCUGCCAGGUGCCGCAGUAAAGUGCCAGUGGACCCGGUGAGGGAGAUCUUUGAUCUCCACACUGGACGGUCAUGGCACACCGCAUAGCCAACGCUUUGAUAGUGCCAGCUCCUCUGAUUUCCCCUGUUGGCCACGGUCCAUGGCCAUUUAGGUCCACCAGGCAUUUGCACAGUUUGCCCGAUGGCUAGGUCGGGCCUGGUUGCAGAUGGUGAAAUUUUAAGAUGGUGAGGCACAAGACUACACUCACAGUAUUUUACUAUAACCCUUCUCUCUUGAAACCCCACCCCCUGGUAUAUUGGACUCAUUGAAUAUGAAAAUAGCUUACAAAAAAAAAAAACACAACAACAACAAAACCACAACAACAAAAAAACACUUUCUUAUACUUGACUGCAGGAGAUAUUACCAGCACAUUGCAAAGAAAUUGUGUGUAGAACAUUGCUUAGCCUAAUGAGUUACACUAUUAUAAUAAUAAUAAUAAUAAUAAUAACAACAAAGUAUGUAACCAGAAAAGAUACAUUCAGAUUACUCUGUUUUUCAAGUACGUCCUAUGUAAUACAAAUAAUUAUGCUAAAAUAUGAAAUUAUUACAAUUAUCACACAGAAAAAUAAAUUUUAUUAAAAAAAAGACUUGACAAUACAGGAUAAUACAAUAAUGGGACUGUACCUGGAAAUCUGGCAUAGUCUGGCAGCAGUAACAAAAUUAAUAAACCCCUUCCUUCUCCUGACAGAGGUCCCUAGUGCUACCUUUUGUUGGAGAGGGGCUACCUCUCCAGACAAUUAAACUCUAAUUUACCAAAAUUGUCCCCACUUCAGCUCUAUAGUCACUCAACAUCCCCAUGCCAGUCCUCCAUCCUCUCCAAAGCAAAUUUAGACAGACACAUUUACCUGCAAUUAACCGUCUUCCUGCACAAAUUAGAUUUUGUCACAAGUGCCUGCCUACGAACCCUCUCUAUUUCCAUGUUAGAUUUGCCACAUUUGCCUGCCAAAUAACCAUCUCACUUCCCAAUUUAGAUUGGCCCAUUCCUCUUCCUAUUAACCACUUCCUUAUCCCAAAAAUAGAUCAUCUCCUUCUUCUUGCUACACACACACACACUGUGAAAGGACCCUAUUCUGGUUCCUAAAGAAUUGAUCCCUAACAUAAAUCUGCCCUCACUGCCUGGCAGACCUCUCCUGGCCCAACUAGUGGCUCAGGACACCACAAAAUGUUUAGACCCACAUUCACACACCAUGCAGCUCCCAGACAGAUACAACACAUGUUUGAAAUUUGGCAGACAAAUUAAAUUAAUUUGAUAAAUGAAAGUACCAAGGUUAAGGUAGCAAAUAACAUUUACCACCCUUUACAGCCAGACAACAAGCACUCCUCUUCCCUUUCUUCUGAAAGGCAGAUAGACUCUCAGCCACCAAAGGGGAUGGCUUUUUCCUGUGCCGCAUAUCAGAGGCCACUCCCAGGGCAAACUGAGAACUAGAUUGGGGCAGCAACUAGAUCAGAAUUCUAUACUUCCUGCUGCUCAUGGGACCUUGCCUGAGAGUAAUAAAAAAGCCUGGGUCUGGUCUUACGUCCCCUCACCUUACCUGACCCUCAGCUCUCUGCUGGAGUCCCUGCUCUACCUUCUCUGAUGGGUAGCCAAGAAUGGGCCCUAAACUCUGGUGGGCACCAGUGCCAUUGUACCUGCUGCACCUGCAGUAGUUCUGCCCCUGUGUGGCAGCAAGGAUACAUUUCCAGAAAGCGCAAAGUGCUGUGGUUUGAGGAAGAAUUUAUGUUUCCCUUUAUAAGGGAGACAUUUACAGAAAAUACACAGUGUUUCCAUAGGAUUACAAAGUCACAGCAGAACACAUCAUACUAGUUUUAAAACUGAGUUCCACUGUAGCCUAGUGGUUAUGGUCUCUGCCCUUUGUGCUGCCAACCUGGUUUAAAAUUUUGUUGGGUACAACACCUCUCCACAUCAGAAUUAAACUCACAACCUUUGCGUUACAAACUGAGUGCAAUACCAUUAGGCUACCUUGUAAGUAAUGAUAUUAAAUUAGAUUUUCAGACUUUUGAACUAUCAUACACUUGAAAUUAAAUUCUGACAAUUUACUGGGGGUUAAGUAGGGAACUUCAAAAAUAACCUCUAGGGGCAUACUGAUCAUAUCUGAGAUGUUCUCUGACUGGACAGCCUAUAUCUUACACAUGUCCAGUUGUCUUCAACAGCUUAUGCAGACAACCAUCCUUCAUCAUCAGUGAGUCAGACUAUGGUGAUACCCUUUAACCCCUUAAGGACACAUGACAUGUGUGACAUGUCAUGAUUCCCUUUUAUUCCAGAAGUUUGGCUCUUAAGGGGUUAAAGGGACACUCCAGACCACUAAAGCACUUUAGCUUGCUGAAAAGUUUUAUGUGUGAAGAGUGGGUCUGUUUUUUUUGUUGUUUUUUUUCAUUUUUCAAAAAUUGCAGAGUUCAAUAGAAAUUGACACUUUUAUAAAUUAAUCUGGUUACAUCCCCUGGCCUUUAAGCACACAAUUGGUCACGUUACUUCCUGGUUUGGUUAGCACAGUGGAGCUAAACUCGAGAGGCAAUAGAAAUACAGACUUUUUUUAUUGUUUCUACUUUUUUCUGUCUUUCGAUCAUUUACUUGAUCUGUAAAUAAAAUAAAUAUUUUGUGGCUUUCUAAUAACAAUUGUCUUUUUUUCCCAUCAAUCAUCUAAUUUUUUUUGUCUGUGGUUGGAAAUCUGAAUCACAAAUCUAACAAACAUUCCCAUCCAUUGCGCAAGCUGUUCGGGUAUGCAUCCAUAUCGCGCUUCGAAGUUAUGGAAUUUGGAUGAUCUGCCAAUCGGUUUAAAUUCUGAAAAAUUGCAACUUGGACAGAAAUGAAUGCACAAAUCUAAUAAUAAUUCAUGCAGCAAGGGUGUUCAAAUGAUACGAUACCCUCAAUAUACAUUUUAUGACGAAAUAUAAUGAAAGUUACACAGUUAUUGAAUGUAUUUUAUGAAAAUGUUGGAAUCUGUUAAUGAAUCGUCAUUUGUUUAGUCACUUAGAUCCAGAAGUGUUUUUUCUUUCUCCAUGCUGUUACAACGUGUUUUCUUUUCAAUCUUGUCAUUUUAUGUCUGAGUUCAGUUUAAUGUUUUCAUUGCUACUGUUCGUAUCCCAUUGGAUCAUAUAUGUAAUAAAAUUGGCUACUUGACAAACCCUAACUUAUUUAGAUUUUUUGCACAUUUCAAUAUGACUUGAAUACGUUUUAUGUGUUUUUGUAUGCAAUUAUCUUAAAAUUGUAUUUUGUUUAUAGUUAGACUGUUUUAAAUUUAUUGUUUUCUUCUAUUCAGAGCCAUAUGGAGUUGAAAUAUUUCAAAUAUUUGCACCCUUCUACUAUAGUGUCCAUUUAAUGUUAUAAAAGAGAAUGGUCACGGAACUUAUCAAAUUCAGGGACAAUACACAGAGACAACACAAACAAGGGAAUAAGCUGAGGUCAAGGGUUACAGAAAAUGGAAGAGUCAGAAACAAGCUAAAGUUAGAUAACAGGGAAACAAAACAGACAAUAAAUGCACUCUCAGAUAACCUUAUAGGAAACAGGACAAAGCAUAUGGGGCUAAAAAGCUGCAUAUGUUUAGGUACUUACUGAUUGGUUGAGGUCACUCUUGCGAGUGACGAACUAGGACCAGAAAUUACACAAUGCGUCUUUUUAAUAUAUAUAUAGGGACGCUGUUAUCGGGCUGCGUCCACCAUGUUGCUAAGAUGGGGCCUGCAAGCCUCAUUGUCCAGAUUGACGAAAGUCAUGUGGGCACACUGAUCAGGUAGGUAUUGUGAAACAAAAACAAAUUAAUGCAAAAAAACAUAAUAUAAUAACUGUUUCACAUUUUUACAACAGACGUGUUUCGAGCAGGAAAGGGGUUAAUGUUCCAUAAUGCAGUUACAAAUAUUAGAGAAACAUUACUGUGCUACAUUUUCCCCAAACACAGCAGAAAUCCUUACCUGUCUCACUCGAGAUCCUCAAGGGGGCGUUUCUCAUCCAAAUGUACGCAUUCAACAGCUGUUGCUUCAUUCCCUGCAUCAACUUGAGAUUUGGGGUUCUGCUUUGCAGGAGAAAUUAGGGAAGUCUGACACAACAUAUUGUAAUGGAAUGUGUCAAAUUCUAAAUUUAAACUGUCACUGUUAAUUAAAGGUAUUCUUCGUGUAAAGGGAAAUGUUAUCCAGAAUUGACUCUGCCAUAAUAAACUUUUUAAACCGUGUAUUGUCACCUGCCACCAGUUUUUUUUUUUUUACAUAUGCAAUUAAAAAUGUCUGAUAUAUUUGAACAACCUCAAACAUCUUACUUUAAAGAGAAUAAAAUUAUUCAUUUAGGUUCUUUUAUAUUAUAACCAGUUUAGAAAACUUCAGAUAUCCAUAGGAUGCUUUUUUCCUGUUAUCGUAUAGAAAGACUGCCUUUUAUAGCAAUGUUUUACCAUUCAUGUUAAUGUACCAGUUUCUCUUGUCUCAAUGCUAAAGGAACACUAUAGGCACCAUAAUGUCUUUGUCUAAUUGAAGUGGUAAUAGUAGCUGGAGUUCCCUGGCACUUUCCUUCCAUUCAGCAUUAGACAGUUUUUAAUUUUAAAGUGAAACAAGAGUCGCCAUUAACCCAUCCCUGCUGUGCAACUUGUGCUAACGAGGAAACACAAGCCUCAGCAGACUGAGCAGCAGCUGUGAUUGGUUGAAAGUGUCCGCUGACUUCUUUCAGCUUAUUACAGUGCCACUGCAGGUAUGAGAUGUUAUGGCUACAAGGCAGUGUGUAAUCUCUGCCUUAGCCAUACCUGCAGUCGGGGUGGGGCGCCAGGAAUCUUUAUUCAGUGUUAAACUGCUUGAAGACGGUUUACUACUGAAUGGAAGGAGAGUGCCAGGAGACUCAAGGCACAAUAAUCAAUUUGUGAGAUAAAAAGGAUAUAGCGCCUACAGUGUCCUUUUUGUUUUACCACAGUUAUUCUCUCUACCAACAUUUUUACUGUUCUACAUUUCUCUACAAUAUAAAAACCCCAUUUUAUCCUAUUACAACAUUUCCAUGCUACGCCUUCCUGUUUUAUUGCUCACAGAAGUUUAUUUAUUCACCAACUUUUACUCAAUAGUUAUCCGUACUCAAUCGGUUUACCUCUCUUUCACCCCCAACCUUUCUUAAUAGUCUAAUGAAGUAAGCAAAGGUAUCUGUGUGUCUGACAACUGGGAUGCCUGCUAAUACAUAUCUGAUGUGUCACCCUUUCCUCUGUUUAGGUCUUUCUGUGUACUUUUGUGAGAUUUUAAGAUAACUUGUUAUAAUGGAGAAGAAAUAAAUUAUGACUAUCUUUCCAUACACCUAGUUAAUACUAAAGCAAAAAUGCUAAUUGCUUAGCUCUUUUUUAUUGAUAUUUUUAAAAUAAAUUUCGAUGGUAAUUUUCUCAGGGUGUACACUCUAAUGCAGAAGUGGGCAAACACUAGAUCCCUACAUGUUCUAGAACUGGAAAUUCCAUAAUACUUUGCCAUUCUACAGUAAAGGCUGGCAGAGCAUCAUGGUAGUUGGAAUUCUCCAGCAUCUGGGGGUUUACCAUUUGCCCACCCCUGCUCUAAUUCAAUGUGUAUUUUUACUACAAACCUGUUCGGACCAGAAAUUACUUAACACAAAUAUUUGAGGACACUUAUCUGAAAAAAGGUACAAAUUUCUACCUAAGAACCCAAGUACAAUUGGAUUAUAUAUAGUUUAGGCCUAAUGCAUAACGCCUAACAUUUUAAAUUGACAAAGAGCGAUACUUUCAGUUUAGAGGUGCGAGUGGAGUUGUGGGCAGGCUGUUCUGAGAAAUUUUAGGUAACUAAAUAAUAAAUAAAUAAAAUAGGUUUAUGGAAUUAAAAUGUAAUUUAGAACAAGAACAAUAACAAUGUGUCUUAUUUACACAGACUGAUUUCUAAACACAUUUAUUGUAGUUUAAAGACACAUUACAGUGUGUGAUAUUGCUGUGGAACUGUGUUUUAGACUCAACUGGUAUCUGCUAAAGACUCACACACACCAAGAAUACUGAACUCCUACAAAAGAUGGGCAUUACAAUAGAAAAAGGAUUUGGGCCCAACAUAGGGACAGUCCCUGAUAAAUAGGGAGCGUUAGGAGAUAUGUAAAAUUAAGGGAGGUGGGGUGAUCGUGAUAAGAUCGACGUAUCAGGGAAAGAAAGGUAAGUAAAAUUAUUUUUGUAUUACUUCUGGAGGAGCCCAAUAAUCUACAUAGGUAGACUAACACUAUAGUGUAAGGCAUAAAUAUUUGUAAGAAAAACCACAAAUACCACACAGACACAAGGCAAGUUCUAUAAGGAAUAAAUUAUAUCUGAUGUUUAAGAUCAGUCCAAUUAAUUUGUAUCCACCUCUCUGUGGCGAUAUUAGACAACGAUGUCCUCUAUUUUUACUUAAUAUAAUGAUCAUGUUCUGUAUUGCCUUAUACCAUUUGUCAGAGAUAUUAACCAAAAGAUUUUAUCUACUCAGUAAUAUGAUAUUAUUUUCAGAACCCCAACACUUUAACAUCCCUUUUGAAAUCCAUAUCCAUAUGCAGUAAUGUCUAUCAUGAAUUAUUAUGCAAGUAGAAGAUGAAGAAACAGAUAAAAAUAACCUGCGUUCUACAGCAUUCAUAUUGCAGCAGAUGGUUUUGAGAAUGAUUUGGCUUGCUGUUUCUUUUAUCUGUUGCUAUUUUUCUUCCCUUACAGUGAGAAAGUGGAUUAUUACGCCAGGGGGGCAGUCAUCGAUUCUCCUGGAAAGUUU